rnacentral:rRNA from 1 species
AUUGAUCGCUGGCGGCAGGCCUAACACAUGCAAGUCGAGCGGAUGAAGGGAGCUUGCUCCUGGAUUCAGCGGCGGACGGGUGAGUAAUGCCUAGGAAUCUGCCUGGUAGUGGGGGAUAACGUCCGGAAACGGGCGCUAAUACCGCAUACGUCCUGAGGGAGAAAGUGGGGGAUCUUCGGACCUCACGCUAUCAGAUGAGCCUAGGUCGGAUUAGCUAGUUGGUGGGUUAAAGGCCUACCAAGUCGACGAUCCGUAACUGGUCUGAGAGGAUGAUCAGUGACACUGGAACUAAGACACGGUCCAGACUCCUACAGGAGGCAGCAGUGGGGAAUAUUAGACAAUAGGCGAAAGCCUGAUCCAGCCAUGCCGCGUGUGUGAAGAAGGUCUUCAGAUUGUAAAGCACUUUAAGUUGGGAGGAAGGGCAGUAAGUUAAUACCUUGCUGUUUUGACGUUACCAACAGAAUAAGCACCGGCUAACUUCGUG